rnacentral:rRNA from 1 species
UACGUAGGGUGCAAGCGUUGCUCGGAAUUACUGGGCGUAAAGGGAGCGUAGGCGGACAUUUAAGUCAGGGGUGAAAUCCCGAGGCUCAACCUCGGAACUGCCUUUGAUACUGGAUGUCUUGAGUGUGAGAGAGGUGAGUGGAACUCCGAGUGUAGAGGUGAAAUUCGUAGAUAUUCGGAAGAACACCAGUGGCGAAGGCGACUCACUGGCUCAUUACUGACGCUGAGGCUCGAAAGCGUGGGGAGCAAACAGG